GACGAACGCUGGCGGCGUGCUUAACACAUGCAAGUCGAACGGAAAGGCCCUGCUUUUGUUGGGUGCUCGAGUGGCGAACGGGUGAGUAACACGUGAGUAACCUGACCUUGACUUUGGGGUAACUUCAGGAAACUGGGGCUAAUACCAGAUAGGAGCUCCUACUGCAUGGUGGGGGUUGGAAAGUUUCGGCGGUUGGGGAUGGAAUCGCGGCUUAGCAGCUUGUUGGUGGGGUAGUGGCUUACCAAGGCUUUGACGGGUAGCCGGCCUGAGAGGGUGACCGGCCACAUUGGGACUGAGAUACGGCCCAGACUCCUACGGGAGGAAGAAGUGGGGAAUAUUGCACAAUGGGCGGAAGCCGGAUGCAGCAACGCCGCGUGCGGGAGGACGGCCUUCGGGUUGUAAACCGCUUGCGCCUGUGACGAAGCGUGAGUGACGGUAAUGGGUAAAGAAGCACCGGCUAACUACGUG
rnacentral:rRNA from 1 species